GGCCUACGGGGGGCAGCAGUGGGGAAUAUUGGGCAAUGGGCGCAAGCCUGACCCAGCAACGCCGCGUGAAGGAAGAAGGCCCUCGGGUUGUAACCUUCUUUUAUUCGGGACGAAACAAAUGACGGUACCGAAUGAAUAAGCCACGGCUAACUACGUGCCAGCAGCCGCGGUAAUACGUAGGUGGCAAGCGUUAUCCGGGUUUACUGGGUGUAAAGGGCGUGUAGGCGGGAGAGCAAGUCAGACGUUAAAUUCCAGGG
rnacentral:rRNA from 1 species